rnacentral:rRNA from 1 species
GAGUCCGCUGAACUUAAGCAUAUCAAUAAGCGGAGGAAAAGAAACCAACAGGGAUUGCCCUAGUAACGGCGAGUGAAGCGGCAACAGCUCAAAUUUGAAAUCUGGCCUCACGGUCCGAAUUGUAAUUUGUAGAGGAUGUUUCUGGCGACGUGUCUUCCGAGUUCCCUGGAACGGGACGCCAUAGAGGGUGAGAGCCCCGUCCGGUCGUACACCUAGCCUCUGUGAAACUCCUUCGACGAGUCGAGUAGUUUGGGAAUGCUGCUCUAAAUGGGAGGUAUACGUCUUCUAAAGCUAAAUACCGGCCAGAGACCGAUAGCGCACAAGUAGAGUGAUCGAAAGAUGAAAAGCACUUUGAAAAGAGGGUUAAAUAGUACGUGAAAUUGCUGAAAGGGAAGCGCUUAUGACCAGACUUGGGCUCGGUGAAUCAUCCGGCGUUCUCGCCGGUGCACUUUGCCGUCCCAGGCCAGCAUCAGUUCGCGCCGGGGGAUAAAGGUUUCGGGAAUGUAGCUCCCUCGGGAGUGUUAUAGCCCGUUGCGUAAUACCCUGGCGUGGACUGAGGUCCGCGCUCUGCAAGGAUGCUGGCGUAAUGGUCAUCAGUGACCCGUCUUGAAACACGGACCAAGGAGUCGUCUUCGUAUGCGAGUGUUCGGGUGUCAAACCCCUACGCGUAAUGAAAGUGAACGUAGGAGAGAGCUUCGGCGCAUCUCCGACCGAUCCUGAUGUUCUCGGAUGGAUUUGAGUAAGAGCAUACGGGGCCGGACCCGAAAGAAGGUGAACUAUGCCUGUAUAGGGUGAAGCCAGAGGAAACUCUGGUGGAGGCUCGCAGCGGUUCUGACGUGCAAAUCGAUCGUCAAAUAUGGGCAUGGGGCGAAAGACUAAUCGAACGUCAAGGGGU